rnacentral:rRNA from 1 species
GAUGAACGCUGGCUACAGGCUUAACACAUGCAAGUCGAGGGGCAGCAUGAACAAAGCUUGCUUUGUUUGAUGGCGACCGGCGCACGGGUGCGUAACACGUAUCCAAUCUGCCCGCGGCUCGGGGAUAGCCCAUCGAAAGAUGGAUUAAUACCCGAUGGCGUGGUCACUCCGCAUGGAGUUUCCACUAAAGGUUUUCCGGCCGCGGAUGAGGAUGCGUAUGAUUAGGUAGUAGGCGGGGUAACGGCCCACCUAGCCUUCGAUCAUUAGGGGUUCUGAGAGGAAGGUCCCCCACACUGGAACUGAGACACGGUCCAGUCUCCUACGGGAGGCAGCAGUGAGGAAUAUUGGUCAAUGGGCGAGAGCCUGAACCAGCCAAGUAGCGUGAAGGAAGACUGCCCUAUGGGUUGUAAACUUCUUUUGUUCGGGAAUAAAGUGCAGUAUGUAUACUGUUUUGUAUGUACCGUUCGAAUAAGCAUCGGCUAAUUCCGUGCCAGCCGCCGCAGUAAAAC